rnacentral:rRNA from 1 species
UUUUAUGGAGAGUUUGAUCCUGGCUCAGGAUGAACGCUGGCGGCGUGCCUAAUACAUGCAAGUCGAGCGAACAGACGAGGAGCUUGCUUCUCUGACGUUAGCGGCGGACGGGUGAGUAACACGUGGAUAACCUACCUAUAAGACUGGGAUAACUUCGGGAAACCGGAGCUAAUACCGGAUAAUAUAUUGAACCGCAUGGUUCA